UACGGAGGGUGCAAGCGUUGCUCGGAAUUAUUGGGCGUAAAGCGCACGCAGGCGGCGAGGUAAGUCAGUUGUGAAAUUCCCGGGCUUAACUUGGGAACUGCAGCUGAUACUGCUUUGCUUGAGUACGGAAGAGGGGAGCGGAAUUCCCAGUGUAGAGGUGAAAUUCGUAGAUAUUAGGAAGAACACCAGUGGCGAAGGCGGCUCACUGGUCCGGUACUGACGCUGAGGUGCGAAAGCGUGGGGAGCAAACAGG
rnacentral:rRNA from 1 species